UGCUGCUUCUGACAAACUAUUUGUAGGAAAAUGAGAUUUGGUCCGCGCUGGAUGGCUCCUCUGGGAGGCAGGCGUGGGGGUCGGGUUCGGAGCCCCCGUGCGGGCCCCCCCACCAGAGCCCACGGCGCUUACGGAGCUCUUUAAGAUAAAUGAGCAAAAUUAAGAGACUCACUGGGGGAAGAAAACGGGAUGGCAGCGAGCGAGAGCGGCUGGUACAGGGUUUCCGCCCAGAGAUUCAUCCACGUGCGCCCCACUGGGGCCUCCCCCAUCUGCCGCAGACUCCAGGGAGCUCUCUUCCCCAAGAAGAACUUCCAGACCCCGGGGCGCCUUUCUUCCUCCCCCUGGAUGUGGUCGUUGAAAAGGGCAGAGACCUUUCUAGAAGGACGCAUCACUCAGGACAGGACGCAGGCAGUGGAAGCCCGUGACUGAAGCAAGCCCCCAGGCCUCACCUCCAAGGCAGGGUUUAACACUUCUGGUCGGCUGAGCAGCAAACUGUAAGCUCCCUGAGGGCAGGUGGGAGGUCUUGGGUUUUCUGGCGGAACCUAAGGGCUGCAAGGAGGUCAAAGCAGUCAAUCCUAAAGGAAAUCAACCCUGAAUAUUCAUUGGAAAGCGAAAGCAAAAUCGCUCAGUCAUGUCCGACUCUUUGUGACCCCACGGACUGUAGCCUACCAGGCUCCUCAGUCCAUGGAAUUUUCCAGGCAGACGCUUUACCAUGAGCCACCAGGGAAGCCCAUCGGAAGGGCUGAUGCUAAAGCUGAAGCUCCAAUCCUUUGGCCACCUGAUGUGAAGAGCCAGCUCAAUGGAAAAGACCCUGAUGCUGGGAAAGACUGAAGGCAAAAGGAGACGGGGGCGGGAGAGGAUGAGAUGAUUAGACAGCAUCACCGGCCCAAUGGACAUAAUUUGAGCAAACUCCGGGAGACAGUGGAGGACAGAGCAGCCUGGCUGCUACAGUCCAUGGGGUCGCUGAGUUGGACACAACUUAGCCACUGAACAACAUCCACCCUAGGGCUGGCUCCCUGCAGGCCCUAAAUACUAUUUGUGGGGGGAGUGACUGCUCCAACACAAGCCUGUCUUUCAAACUCAAGGCUUCAUUUUCAACUCCCAUGGGAUGUGCCCUGGAGCCAGUUUUUCAGGACAUGUUUUUCCUUAUUUUAAAAACAAUACAUUUUAAUGGAUGCAGUAUCUUCUCUUAUCUCCAGGAGAGCAGUAAUUAUUCUGUAACUCUGUUUUGUAUUUAUUUAUUUUUGUCUGUUUUUGAAGUCUUAAUUUCCCUUUUAGUAAAUAAGAAAGAAUUCUCUCUCAGAAAUUAAAAGUUGAAAUGUAGAAGUUGAAAUAAAUUAAGUAGGAGGCCUGAAAGAUAAUGUGAAAAAAACUCCAAUACAUUUAUUGUUCUGUCAAAUGUGAAGAAAAUAGAGAUAAGCCUGGACAAGAAAAGAAAAAUCACCUACCAGUUCUAUAGUUUGGUGUCUAUCUGAGUUUGAAAAGAAAAAGGCUCAUAUUGCACAUAUUUUUGAUAUGCUUUACAUAUCAAAUAUCAUCAAAUACAAUGAUAUUAUAUUAUGCAUCCUUUUUUAUGAUAUUCACUAUUCCUCUAAGAUAUAAUAUUAAAUGGAAACAGUUUGUCGACUGUAUGUUUGUAUGUUCCAUGUAUGGCUUCAUUAUUAAUAAAA